GGGCUUGUAGCUCAGGUGGUUAGAGCGGCUGACUCAUAAUCAGAUGGUCGCGGGUUCAAUUCCUGCCAGGCCCA
rnacentral:tRNA from 3 species